rnacentral:rRNA from 1 species
CAGGGCGUGCCUAAUACAUGCAAGUCGAACGAGUUCUCGUUGAUGAUCGGUGCUUGCACCGAGAUUCAACAUGGAACGAGUGGCGGACGGGUGAGUAACACGUGGGUAACCUGCCCUUAAGUGGGGGAUAACAUUUGGAAACAGAUGCUAAUACCGCAUAGAUCCAAGAACCGCAUGGUUCUUGGCUGAAAGAUGGCGUAAGCUAUCGCUUUUGGAUGGACCCGCGGCGUAUUAGCUAGUUGGUGAGGUAAUGGCUCACCAAGGCGAUGAUACGUAGCCGAACUGAGAGGUUGAUCGGCCACAUUGGGACUGAGACACGGCCCAAACUCCUACGGGAGGCAGCAGUAGGGAAUCUUCCACAAUGGACGCAAGUCUGAUGGAGCAACGCCGCGUGAGUGAAGAAGGCUUUCGGGUCGUAAAACUCUGUUGUUGGAGAAGAAUGGUCGGCAGAGUAACUGUUGUCGGCGUGACGGUAUCCAACCAGAAAGCCACGGCUAACUACGUGCCAGCAGCCGCGGUAAUACGUAGGUGGCAAGCGUUAUCCGGAUUUAUUGGGCGUAAAGCGAGCGCAGGCGGUUUUUUAAGUCUGAUGUGAAAGCCCUCGGCUUAACCGAGGAAGCGCAUCGGAAACUGGGAAACUUGAGUGCAGAAGAGGACAGUGGAACUCCAUGUGUAGCGGUGAAAUGCGUAGAUAUAUGGAAGAACACCAGUGGCGAAGGCGGCUGUCUGGUCUGUAACUGACGCUGAGGCUCGAAAGCAUGGGUAGCGAACAGGAUUAGAUACCCUGGUAGUCCAUGCCGUAAACGAUGAAUGCUAGGUGUUGGAGGGUUUCCGCCCUUCAGUGCCGCAGCUAACGCAUUAAGCAUUCCGCCUGGGGAGUACGACCGCAAGGUUGAAACUCAAAGGAAUUGACGGGGGCCCGCACAAGCGGUGGAGCAUGUGGUUUAAUUCGAAGCAACGCGAAGAACCUUACCAGGUCUUGACAUCUUUUGAUCACCUGAGAGAUCAGGUUUCCCCUUCGGGGGCAAAAUGACAGGUGGUGCAUGGUUGUCGUCAGCUCGUGUCGUGAGAUGUUGGGUUAAGUCCCGCAACGAGCGCAACCCUUAUGACUAGUUGCCAGCAUUUAGUUGGGCACUCUAGUAAGACUGCCGGUGACAAACCGGAGGAAGGUGGGGAUGACGUCAAAUCAUCAUGCCCCUUAUGACCUGGGCUACACACGUGCUACAAUGGAUGGUACAACGAGUUGCGAGACCGCGAGGUCAAGCUAAUCUCUUAAAGCCAUUCUCAGUUCGGACUGUAGGCUGCAACUCGCCUACACGAAGUCGGAAUCGCUAGUAAUCGCGGAUCAGCACGCCGCGGUGAAUACGUUCCCGGGCCUUGUACACACCGCCCGUCACACCAUGAGAGUUUGUAACACCCGAAGCCGGUGGCGUAACCCUUUUAGGGAGCGAGCCGUCUAAGGUGGGACAAAUGAUUAGGGUGAAGUCGUAACAAGAGGAACG